rnacentral:tRNA from 1 species
GGUGGUGUAGCUCAGCAGUAGAGUGCUUGCCUAGUAGGUAUGAGGCCCUCAGUUCAGUACCCAGCACUGCCA